rnacentral:rRNA from 1 species
UGGGGAAUCUUGGACAAUGGGGGCAACCCUGAUCCAGCGACGCCGCGUGGGUGGUAAGGCCUUCGGGUUGUAAAGCCCUUUCACCAGGGAAGAUGAUGACAUUACCUGGAGAAGAAGCACCGGCUAACUCCGUGCCAGCAGCCGCGGUAAGACGGAGGGUGCUAGCGUUGUUCGGAAUCACUGGGCGUAAAGGGCGCGUAGGCGGCCUUUCAAGUUGGAUGUGAAAGCCCGGGGCUCAACCUCGGAACGGCAUUCGAAACUGGAAGGCUGGAGACCGAAAGAGGAGGGUGGAAUACCCAGUGUAGAGGUGAAAUUCGUAGAUAUUGGGUGGAACACCGGUGGCGAAAGCGGCUCUCUGGUUCGGAUCUGACGCUGAGGCGCGAAAGCGUGGGGAGCAAACAGGAUUAGAUACCCCCGUAGUCC